rnacentral:rRNA from 1 species
UACGAAGGGGGCGAGCGUUGUUCGGAAUUACUGGGCGUAAAAGGCGCGCAGGCGGCUCGACAAGUCAGAUGUGAAGGCCCCGGGCUCAACCUGGGAACGACAUUUGGGACUGUCGGGCUAGAGUUCGGGAGAGGUGGGUGGAAUUCCCAGUGUAGAGGUGAAAUUCGUAGAUAUUGGGAAGAACACCGGUGGCGAAGGCGGCUCACUGGACCGAGACUGACGCUGAGG